ensembl:lncRNA
GGGACACAGAUGGGGACGGACAGACAGACGGACAUGGAUGGGGACAGACAGACACAGAUGGGGACAGAUGGAUGGACACAGAUGGGCACAGACAGACAGACAUGGAGGGGGACAGACGGACACAGAUGGGGACAGACAGACGGACACAGAUGGGGACAGACAGACGGACGUGGAUGGGGACAGACAGACACAGAUGGGGACAGACAGACAGACAUGGAGGAGGAGAGACAGACACAGACAGAUGGGGACAGACAGACACAGAUGGGGACAGACAGACGGACGUGGAUGGAUGGGGAUAAGGACAGACAGACGGACAUGGGGACAGACAGACGGACGUGGAGGGGGACAGACGGACACUGAUGGGGACAGACGGACGGACGGGGACAGGAACAGAUGGGGACAGACGGACAUAUGGGGACAGAUGGGGUUAAGGACAGACGGACAGACCGGGACAGACAGACGGACGUGGAGGGGGACAGACGGACAGACGGGGACCGGGACAGAUGGGGACAGACGGACAGAUGGCGAUAAGGACAGACAGAUGGACAGGGAUGGGGACAGACAGACAGACGUGGAUGGGGACAGACGGCAUAGGGACAUACGGGGCCAGAUGGGGAUAAGGACAGACGGACGGACACGGAUGGGGACAGACGGACAUAUGGGGACAGAUGGGGAUAAGGACAGACAGACGGACAUGGAUGGGGACAGACGGCAGUGGGGACAGAUGGGGAUAAGGACAGACAGACAGACAUGGAGGGGGACAGACGGACAGACGGGGACAGAUGGGGA